UGAGACUCAUUUAUGGUAGUCACUGCCUAGUC
rnacentral:piRNA from 1 species